rnacentral:rRNA from 1 species
CAGGGAUUGCCCUAGUAACGGCGAGUGAAGCGGCAACAGCUCAAAUUUGAAAUCUGGCCCUCGGGUCCGAGUUGUAAUUUGUAGAGGAUGCUUUUGGCGCGGUGCCUUCCGAGUUCCCUGGAACGGGACGCCUUAGAGGGUGAGAGCCCCGUACGGUUGGACACCAAGCCUCUGUAUAGCUCCUUCGACGAGUCGAGUAGUUUGGGAAUGCUGCUCUAAAUGGGAGGUAAAUUUCUUCUAAAGCUAAAUAUUGGCCAGAGACCGAUAGCGCACAAGUAGAGUGAUCGAAAGAUGAAAAGCACUUUGAAAAGAGGGUUAAAUAGCACGUGAAAUUGUUGAAAGGGAAGCGUUUGCGACCAGACCUUUUCCUAGCGGAUCAUCCGGUGUUCUCACCGGUGCACUUCGCUAGGUUUAGGCCAGCAUCGGUUUCUGUAGGGGGAUAAAAGCUCUGGGAACGUAGCUCCUCCGGGAGUGUUAUAGCCCUCUGCAUAAUACCCUUACGGGGACCGAGGACCGCGCUUCGGCAAGGAUGCUGGCGUAAUGGUCGUCAACGACCCGUCUUGAAACACGGACCAAGGAGUCGAACAUUUGUGCGAGUGUUUGGGUGUUAAACCCUCACGCGUAAUGAAAGUGAACGUUGUGAGAGCCUCUCGGGGCGCAUCAUCGACCGAUCUUGAUGUCUUCGGAUGGAUUUGAGUAUGAGCAUAACUGUUCGGACCCGAAAGAUGGUGAACUAUGCGUGGAUAGGGUGAAGCCAGAGGAAACUCUGGUGGAGGCUCGCAGCGGUUCUGACGUGCAAAUCGAUCGUCAAAUCUGCGCAUGGGGGCGAAAGACUUAUCGA